GAAACAUCUUAAAGGAACUUGUUUUUAAAUCGACAACACUCGUUAAUUUUCACCUUUUUACAAAGCUUAUAUACCGCCGUUUAAACCCACUUUAUACAAUAUCAUUCAAAUUUACUUUAAAAAUUCAGGUCAAGGUGUAGCCUAUAUUAAGAGUUAAAAUUAGUUACUAUAAAAAAAAUUUAUAGAAUAUAUACAAACAAUAUAACAAUAAAAAAGAAUUUAAAUUCAAUUUGUUAAUAAUAAUAAUAAAUGAAAUACUAUUAUC
rnacentral:rRNA from 1 species